rnacentral:rRNA from 1 species
UUUGAUGGCGACCGGCGCACGGGUGAGUAACACGUAUCCAACCUGCCGAUGACUCGGGGAUAGCCUUUCGAAAGAAAGAUUAUACCCGAUGGCAUAGUUCUUCCGCAUGGUAGAACUAUUAAAGAAUUUCGGUCAUCGAUGGGGAUGCGUUCCAUUAGGUUGUUGGCGGGGUAACGGCCCACCAAGCCUUCGAUGGAUAGGGGUUCUGAGAGGAAGGUCCCCCACAUUGGAACUGAGACACGGUCCAA